rnacentral:rRNA from 1 species
GACGAACGCUGGCGGCGUGCCUAAUACAUGCAAGUUGAGCGCUGAAGGUUGGUACUUGUACCGACUGGAUGAGCAGCGAACGGGUGAGUAACGCGUGGGGAAUCUGCCUUUGAGCGGGGGACAACAUUUGGAAACGAAUGCUAAUACCGCAUAAAAACUUUAAACACAAGUUUUAAGUUUGAAAGAUGCAAUUGCUUCACUCAAAGAUGAUCCCGCGUUGUAUUAGCUAGUUGGUGAGGUAAAGGCUCACCAAGGCGAUGAUACAUAGCCGACCUGAGAGGGUGAUCGGCCACAUUGGGACUGAGACACGGCCCAAACUCCUACGGGAGGCAGCAGUAGGGAAUCUUCGGCAAUGGACGAAAGUCUGACCGAGCAACGCCGCGUGAGUGAAGAAGGUUUUCGGAUCGUAAAACUCUGUUGGUAGAGAAGAACGUUGGUGAGAGUGGAAAGCUCAUCAAGUGACGGUAACUACCCAGAAAGGGACGGCUAACUACGUG